GAAGAGUGAGCAGCGGGCAGAGGUGGGACUGGAGGCUGGGACGCGUGGCAGCUCAGGUGAGACAUAACUGGGGUGUGAGGACUGUCAGCAAAGUGAUGGAGAGCUUGGGAUGGACUGAGCGGCAUUGAGGAAGCAGAACUGACAGGUCCCACAACACGACAGAAUGCAGGCGCUCAGCAGAACUGCAGGCCACGCCUUUUACCCACCAAGACCGGAAGAAAGAAACGGCUGGAAGGCGAGGAGGGGGGGGCAGUGGUCUGUGCGUGCGCACGGUUGCGGCAGAAAAGGGGGAUCAGUUCAGACAGACACAUGAGCCUGGAGCUCAGGGAAAGUGAGUCAGUGUCAGGUUCCUGGAUGCAUCGCCCCCAGGGAGCAGCACCGCCGCACAGACAUAACGCGAUCAUUCCGGUGGAGGCUGGGAGAACACUGACUUAAGACUGAGGAAGGAGAGCUGUGAACGGAGGCUGAGAUGAGCGGGUCAGAGGUGAGACAGACGCUAGGAAAGAAAAAUGACGCCGAAAUCAAGACAGGAGGAGAGUCUUCGGAAAGGAGAUGCCAACGCACACCGCGAGGGGCACAGAGAGAAGAGGGACGUUUGGCACCAGGUCCUGGAGCCACGGGAGGGGCAGCUCCGACAGAGACUCAAGGAGCCGCUGAGCAGGUGAUAAAGUCAAGCUGUCCCGGAAGGAUGGCUGAGAAGGAAUGGCCUCCACCAGAGAGGGCAGCCGGGGCCGAGCGGGAAGGGCCUUCCUCUUUUGUACGUACGCAGGAAAGAUCAGAGUAUGUCCACAUACUGAGGAGAAAAAGCCAACGUCGAACAAGAGGCAAAAGCGGAAGACUGAGGCGAGAGGACACAGCAGCGUUUCUCAGGAGGGAAGGGCGGGGCGGAGAAAGUGCUGGCGCAGGUCGGCCUGACUGUCCCCGGAGCAGUCAGGAGGCGGAGCUGGAUACAGACGCAGAAGCUCCUGGGAAGGGCAGAGGACGGCCAGACGAUCUUGGACAGAAGGCAAGGGAGUAGAUUGCACUGAAUCAGAGAAGGACACGCCCUUCCACCUGGUGGAACCACUGAAGCCACUGGCAGCCUCAUGUUUGGAGGCAGCAGACAGCCUGCGUGAGAUUAGAAAGGACAUGUUCGUUAAACUGUCUGAACGUUUAUGAGACCUUAUAACUUCUUAAAUAAAAAAAGGUUUAUGUUCUUAAA